GCUUACGGCCAUACCAGCCUGAAUACGCCCGAUCUCGUCUGAUCUCGGAAGCUAAGCAGGGUCGGGCCUGGUUAGUACUUGGAUGGGAGACCGCCUGGGAAUACCAGGUGUGUAAGCA
rnacentral:rRNA from 1 species